UACGAAGGGGGCUAGCGUUGUUCGGAAUUACUGGGCGUAAAGCGCGUGUAGGCGGGUCUUUAAGUCAGGGGGGAAAUGCCAAGGCUCAACCUUGGAACUGCCUUUGAUACUGAAGAUCUUGAGUUCGGGAGAGGUGAGUGGAACUGCGAGUGUAGAGGUGAAAUUCGUAGAUAUUCGCAAGAACACCAGUGGCGAAGGCGGCUCACUGGCCCGAUACUGACGCUGAGGCACGAAAGCGUGGGGAGCAAACAGG
rnacentral:rRNA from 1 species